CGUAGGUGGCAAGCGUUGUCCGGAAUUACUGGGUGUAAAGGGCGUGUAGGCGGGUUAUUAAGUCAGAUGUGAAAUUCCAGGGCUCAACCCUGGCGCUGCAUCUGAAACUGAUGAUCUUGAGUACUGGAGAGGGAAGCGGAAUUCCUAGUGUAGCGGUGAAAUGCGUAGAUAUUAGGAGGAACACCAGUGGCGAAGGCGGCUUUCUGGACAGUAACUGACGCUGAGGCGCGAAAGCGUGGGAGCAAACAGGAUU
rnacentral:rRNA from 1 species